CGAAUGCUGACAUAAGUAACGAUAAAGCGGGUGAAAAGCCCGCUCGCCGGAAGACCAAGGGUUCCUGUCCAACGUUAAUCGGGGCAGGGUGAGUCGACCCCUAAGGCGAGGCCGAAAGGCGUAGUCGAUGGGAAACAGGUUAAUAUUCCUGUACUUGGUGUUACUGCGAAGGGGGGACGGAGAAGGCUAUGUUGGCCGGGCGACGGUUGUCCCGGUUUAAGCGUGUAGGCUGGUUUUCCAGGCAAAUCCGGAAAAUCAAGGCUGAGGCGUGAUGACGAGGCACUACGGUGCUGAAGCAACAAAUGCCCUGCUUCCAGGAAAAGCCUCUAAGCAUCAGGUAACAUCAAAUCGUACCCCAAACCGACACAGGUGGUCAGGUAGAGAAUACCAAGGCGCUUGAGAGAACUCGGGUGAAGGAACUAGGCAAAAUGGUGCCGUAACUUCGGGAGAAGGCACGCUGAUAUGUAGGUGAAGUCCCUUGCGGAUGGAGCUGAAAUCAGUCGAAGAUACCAGCUGGCUGCAACUGUUUAUUAAAAACACAGCACUGUGCAAACACGAAAGUGGACGUAUACGGUGUGACGCCUGCCCGGUGCCGGAAGGUUAAUUGAUGGGGUCAGCGCAAGCGAAGCUCUUGAUCGAAGCCCCGGUAAACGGCGGCCGUAACUAUAACGGUCCUAAGGUAGCGAAAUUCCUUGUCGGGUAAGUUCCGACCUGCACGAAUGGCGUAAUGAUGGCCAGGCUGUCUCCACCCGAGACUCAGUGAAAUUGAACUCGCUGUGAAGAUGCAGUGUACCCGCGGCAAGACGGAAAGACCCCGUGAACCUUUACUAUAGCUUGACACUGAACAUUGAGCCUUGAUGUGUAGGAUAGGUGGGAGGCUUUGAAGUGUGGACGCCAGUCUGCAUGGAGCCGACCUUGAAAUACCACCCUUUAAUGUUUGAUGUUCUAACGUUGACCCGUAAUCCGGGUUGCGGACAGUGUCUGGUGGGUAGUUUGACUGGGGCGGUCUCCUCCUAAAGAGUAACGGAGGAGCACGAAGGUUGGCUAAUCCUGGUCGGACAUCAGGAGGUUAGUGCAAUGGCAUAAGCCAGCUUGACUGCGAGCGUGACGGCGCGAGCAGGUGCGAAAGCAGGUCAUAGUGAUCCGGUGGUUCUGAAUGGAAGGGCCAUCGCUCAACGGAUAAAAGGUACUCCGGGGAUAACAGGCUGAUACCGCCCAAGAGUUCAUAUCGACGGCGGUGUUUGGCACCUCGAUGUCGGCUCAUCACAUCCUGGGGCUGAAGUAGGUCCCAAGGGUAUGGCUGUUCGCCAUUUAAAGUGGUACGCGAGCUGGGUUUAGAACGUCGUGAGACAGUUCGGUCCCUAUCUGCCGUGGGCGCUGGAGAACUGAGGGGGGCUGCUCCUAGUACGAGAGGACCGGAGUGGACGCAUCACUGGUGUUCGGGUUGUCAUGCCAAUGGCACUGCCCGGUAGCUAAAUGCGGAAGAGAUAAGUGCUGAAAGCAUCUAAGCACGAAACUUGCCCCGAGAUGAGUUCUCCCUGACUCCUUGAGAGUCCUGAAGGAACGUUGAAGACGACGACGUUGAUAGGCCGGGUGUGUAAGCGCAGCGAUGCGUUGAGCUAACCGGUACUAAUGAACCGUGAGGCUUAACCUU
rnacentral:rRNA from 1 species